rnacentral:rRNA from 1 species
AGUGAACGCUGGCGGUAGGCCUAACACAUGCAAGUCGAACGGCAGCACAGUAAGAGCUUGCUCUUACGGGUGGCGAGUGGCGGACGGGUGAGGAAUACAUCGGAAUCUACUUUUUCGUGGGGGAUAACGUAGGGAAACUUACGCUAAUACCGCAUACGACCUACGGGUGAAAGCAGGGGAUCUUCGGACCUUGCGCGAUUGAUUGAGCCGAUGUCGGAUUAGCUAGUUGGCGGGGUAAAGGCCCACCAAGGCGACGAUCCGUAGCUGGUCUGAGAGGAUGAUCGGCCACACUGGAACUGAGACACGGUCCAGACUCCUACGGGAGGCAGCAGUGGGGAAUAUUGCACAAUGGGCGAAAGCCUGACCCAGCCAUGCCGCGUGAGUGAAGAAGGCCUUCGGGUUGUAAAGCCCUGUUGUUAGGAAAGAAAAGCAGCAGGUGAAAACGCCGAUGUUCUGACGGUACCCAAAGAGUAAGCACCGGCUAACUACGUG